CCACUGGAUCGUCCUUUCACUCAUCUCUCCUUACAGAACAACAUUUAAGGAGAAAAUUUUCGGUUAAAACUUCGGUUAAAAUUUUCGGUUAAAAACUUCGGUUCCGGAAGUCUUGAGUCGACUCCUUAGCUGAUUCAGUGAGUCGAUUCACUUCACUUCGCUUCAGUUGACUGAGCUUUAUUCAGAGUCUCUGUGUCUCUGUCAAGAUUCAUUUCCUGGAAUUUUCUCCUCAAUCUGUCGAGACCGAAAAAGUCUGAAGGAAAAGGAAUCAGCUGAAACUUACAGCAGUUGUGUGAGUGGAAUGAGGACGAUGGGAUCAGUUUCGUGGUGAAAGAACAAAUGAAGGCAGGAGUUUGUUCAGAUCCCGAAGCAGGAGAUGAGAAUGUGAUUUACAGGAACAUGGAACACAUCUCACACCCUUUCCAGGAAACCAGAUGUGCUUUGAACACCAACAUGCUUUCAGCAACACUGCUGUGGGAAACACCCUGCUGGGUUCUAGCACCGGUUCUCUUUGGAUCCUUCCUCAGUUCCCUCUGUUUUAUCCUUUAUUCUCUUUAAGCAGUUACACAUGUUCACUUUAAAAUCUCACAUCCAUACUGAGAUCACCUUCUACAGAUUACUGGCUCUACAUUUAUGAUUUGCAAUUAUUUCGACGGGCAGCACGGUGGUGUAGUGGUUAGCGCUGUUGCCUCACAGCAAGAAGGUCCUGAGUUCGAGCCCCGUGGCGGGCAAGGGCCUUUCUGUGCGGAUUUUGCAUGUUCUCCCCGUGUCCGUGUGGGUUUCCUCCACAGUCCAAAGACAUGCAGGUUAGGUUAACAGGUGAAAAUUGACCAUAGGUGUGAGUGUGAAUGGUUGUCUGUGUCUAUGUGUCAGCCCUGUGAUGACCUGGCGGCUUGUCCAGGGUGUACCCUGCCCGUAGUCAGCUGGGAUAGGCUCCAGCUUGCCUGCGACCCUGUAGAACAGGAUAAAGCGGCUAGAGAUAAUGAGAUGAGAUUAAUUAUUUUGACUUCACUCAUCAUUUCCACAUCUAUCUAUCUAUCUAUCGUCGUGGAAAAAUGGCAAACACCAACACCAGUCUCGUCCUUUUGCAAGAGAAAGAAGGUUUAUUACAGAAACGGACAAGUGAUGAGGGUUCGGCACACCCCUCAUACCAUCUCCUUUGUUCUCAAAUCUAUAUAUACUCUUUACUAGAUAAAAAGGAGACAUCUAUUGCAUUACAUCAUUGCAAUUACAUGCCCUGAUCACGCGCUGGGUGCAUGAUCAGCUCUAAAGCUGAUUGGAUCGUCUCUAAUCGUUGGCUUGUAUGCACAUCUACAUGCGUCUGCUACGCACGUAACAAGCAUGAUAAGAUGAACAUGUUUCAGUGCCAAAUGUUCUGAAUCAUUAGUCCUUGAAGAGGCAACACUCAGUGAAAAGGAAAAUUACAAAACAGUAUGACACUAAAAUUUACUCUACAUUAUCUAUCAAUCUGUCUAUCUAUCUUCACAGUUAUUUCCAGAAAAUUAUUGGUUCUGGAACAGUUCACUCUUUCUGAGCCACUAAUGUGUGUGUGUGUGUGGUGGUGGUGUUGUACUAUAAUGAGCAUAAUUGAGUGGAUUAUACCAGUAGAGGGUAGCAGAGCCGGUCCUGCAAAACAAGCUGUCUGUUUUCUAAAGCAGUGAAUAAUCUGACUGUAAUGUGAAGUGUUUCACAAGGGAUGAAUCAGUAAACAAGCCUGCACCUGUUAGCUAUCGGGGCACCAAUAAACUAUUUGUUUAAUAAAGCCAGUUUGUGGCGACUUGUCCAGGGUGUACCCCACCUUUCACCUGUAGUCAGCUGGGAUAGGCUCUAGCUUGUCUGCGACCCUGUAGAACAGGAUAAAGCAGCUAGAGAUAAUGAGAGAUGAGAUGAGAUGAGAUGAGAUGAGAUGAGAUGAAAGCCAGUUUGUUAAUUUCACAUAUUUCUAUAAAGUCGUUGAGUUUUGAACUGCUUUUUUUGUCUCAAAUGACACAACAACUGAAUAACUUUUUUCCAUACAAUCAGCAAACUUUCCUGAAGAUACUGAAUAGAAGGAUUAUCUGGAUUUGGUUGGAAAAUUUCCCUGCUUUUGUGCACAAAAUAAAGUCAAUUUAUUUGUAUAGAGCUUUUCACAAUCGACAUUGCUGCGAAGCAGCUUGAGAGAAAAAUAGCUUUUAAAUAUACAGUAUGAAGUAAUAAAUUUCUCCCUGAUGAACAAGCCUGAGAUGAUGGUGGUGAGGGAAAAGGCGCUGAGACAACAUCAGGAAGAAACCUGGAGAGGAACCAUAUUCAAAAGGGAAUCCAUUCUCAUUUGGAUGAUAAGAUAGCAUGAUUAAAAAUAAAUUCCUUUCGUGCUUUCAAAUGUGGCCUGGUAUCUUUAAUACAGUACAUACCUGAACUAACAGCCUCAACCUAUAUUUAAAAUAACUUUGGCAGUGCUUUAUCUUUAGAUUCAGUUUUGAAUCAGCCCCAGCAAGCAUUGUUAGUACCAUAAAAACAAAUGUGCCGAGGGUGAAUGGGUAGCAGUUUGUAAAAGAUUUUAUGCAGCACACAUUCACAGUAAGAGCAUCUUUGUUCUGUUAAUUUUCUUACAGAAAAUAGCAUUUUGAUGAACUGAAUACUUUAAGUACUGAAAAACCAAUUAAAGGCCCUCUCCUGGGAUCCAAACUAUUCAAAGAGAACCUGCUUGUUUUGAAUUUUGUUUCUCAAAACAGUAGUAUGGCUGCUGGAGUCGUUCCCCAAGAGCAGGUGGUAAUUAUUAUCCUGUAUCUUAUUUACCUAAAACAUCUGUAGUUCAGGGCACGCCAUCAUGCCUUUGUGUGGUGGCUGCAGCAGCUCUCCUGGUCACUGAUGGUGAGAAACUGGCCCUCUCUCACACCCUCAUCUUUCACACUUCUCACCAGUUCUCAUCAAUUCCACUUUGGUAGCUGAUCUUGCUGAUGCUUGCUCAAAGCCUAUUUACUUAGCUGUCAUCAAGGUUAAAGGGCAUGACAUUUCUAACACACAAGUAGCUCAGGGCAAUGGGCUGGCAGAUGAAGUGGUUAAAUGGGCAGCCAAAAAGGGCACCUCCUUACCACAUAUUUGCACGGUCGCUGUGUAUUUCAUGUUUAGUAAUGUGCUCACUCCUGGCAUUGAUGUUGCUUUUCUCCAAUCUAGACCCACAGAAUGUGACCUGACACACUGGCAGAAGUGUACCCCAGGCCCUGAUGCCUGUUGAGGGACUUUACACAACGUCUAACGCUCCCGGCUUCUGUGUUACCAUUCCUCAUGUAACAUUAUCACGGUGUUUCUCAUGUCACCUGGAGAGGGGAAAUGAAUCUGCACUAUGCCAGUCUUUCAUACAAGACAUGACCCA